GGAGGACAAAUAACCAUUAGGAAGACUUUUUUUCUGUAACACUCCUCCAAUGGACAUCAAAAAUGUGCUAAUGAAGUGCCUUUGGUUGUCUGUAUAAUUUCAGGCUUUUCUUCAGAUGAAAUAAACCAUAGGAGAGAAAAUCAACAGUUCCAUAUUUGAAAACUUCAUGGAUACUGCAGUUUUCCACAGUGAGAAUUCAAGGUGUCAAUCCUCUUGGAUAACAAGGAGAGAAGACUGUCUAGGUGUCUGGAUUCAGAGAGAUGGUCCACUGCUCAGCUCUGUCAUAACUGAGAUCUACAAAUGAGAAACUCUGUCACUUACGAAGAUUUACAUUAGUAAAGACUAGAUGGCUGAUCCUCUGGUGUGCUUAGGACUGUAACCUACAAUUCAGGAAUCUAAAGUUUAUUUAUGUGCUAUUUUAGAAACUGAUGUUCCUUUUUCAUUGUAAAAGGAGUUUUACUCAUCAUUUUAAGCACCCAUCAGAGCUAAUACAAACUUGAUAGGAAUUUGCUCUGCCAUUGCCAAGCACAAGUCAUCAGCUAUGUGUUGUUCAAAUGCCCUCUGAAGUAAGUUUUCAUUUUUAUUUUACUUUCACAGAUUAUCAUUAUUACCCUGAUUUGUCUGGUCCCCAUGACAGUAUCCUUGGCACUUAAUCUUAAGUCUAUACGGCAUUACAAACCCAAGUAGUGCUUGGGCCUGCCUUUCUAAUGUGUAACACAUAAUAGCAUGUCUAGGAUAAUACAAGACUUAGUGACAGUUUCACCACUGACUAUCUUCCAGAUGGAAUGCAAAACAACUUGACUAAACUAGGAAGCUUUUUUAUUAUUGAGGUAGCUUCUUUAUUCCCCACAUGGAGAUUGCCAUCUCAGGAACUCUAACACCCAUUGGUACUUUCUGAAUAAUAGUGUUUAGGAGGUCAUUUUAGGAAGCUGAUAAAGCCAUGAAAAAAAAAACAAAACCUGCCCUCCCUUAACAGCUCCAAACUUUAAUACUUGAAACUGUGUUUUUUGGUUUUGGGUUGAGAUUAAUGUUUUGCAUGGUUUGGUUUUUUUUGUUUGCUUUUCUAAUUAAAAACUCAUUAGAGUUACAAGCUUCAUUUCAGAUUUCUCAUUAGCAGCCACAAAGGGGCAUAGCAGCCUGCAAACUUUGCAGCAUCAGAAGAAAUGUCUUUAGUGUCUUCAAAGGAAGCACUCUUUCAAAAAGCUCUAACCUGCACCUCUGUCCUACAAGAUUCCGAAACUGAAGAAGAGCAGUUACAAGUCACAAGAAGAUAAUUGGGGGUGAAUAUUAGGUAUCAUCCGGGUGACUUUACCUUUAAGAUAGCUUUGGGAGCAAAGGAAGUUGAAGCUGCUGGGAGCUGAUGGGAGUCUUUUCUCCUGACCAAUUACUGGUCAUUUCUGAGAACUGGCGGCGGUUUUAACCAUUCAGAAGUGAGAUCAACUUGUGAACACCACCUUAAGAUGUAAAGCAAGGGUUCUCUUGUUCUCUUUGGUUUCUGGCUUCUGAAGAGGUAACAGGUUCUGUCUCAGCCUCCUCCCCCGCUGUCCAGGCCGGACAAGGCCGCAGAGGACGAAGGGGGAGAAACGGAGCCGGCCAGCCUGACUUGGUUUGUAGUUUCUGCUGCUGGACUGAAACCUGACACCAUGAACAUCUGCAGCUUGAGCAAGACUUUAACUCUUUUACUACCUGGGUAAAAAUUACAGAUUACUCCUUUUUUCUGAGAGAGAGAGAAGGAUGAGAGAGAGAGAUAACAUGAAAGAGACAUCAUAAAAUCAUCAAAGACAGUGAAGAAAAGAGUUAAGUUUUAGAUGGAGAAGAGAGAAUAAGGAGAUGCUUUAUAAGCUGAAAUAUUUUUCUGUUAAAGCUAUGGAGAUGGACAAUAGUGUUCUGAUAAUUCAUGUAUAUUCCUGUAAUACAUGACAGAGUAUAUUGGGAGGAAUGGAGUGUUCAAAGUGUGGAUUUUGAGCAAAAGGUGGAGUAAUUGUGAUACAGUGAGGUGCUGGAACAGAGGGGGGAGAAGUAAUAGUUGAAGAUUGCCGGCUGCUUGAGAGGCAAUGUGAAAACUGUUUCCAGGAAGCUCACAGAAACAGAUGAAGAAAACUUUUGCCUUAAAAAUGACAUCCCUAGACUCAUGGCCCAUACACACCUCAGAGUGAUGUGAAAUGGGAGGAGUGAACUGAUGGCAGAUUUCCGGGCAGCUGGCAUCAGAGAAAUAGAAAGCUAUAACAGAAAUAGCUUUCUUGUGAGAAACGCCAUAGAUUAGCAGAAGACUUCUGUUUCUCUACAAAGACUGAUGAAAAUACUCUAGCAGGAAUUGGGGCUGUUUUAAACACCAAAGUUCCAAAGUUUUUUGUCUCUAUGUUUUCAUGUGAACAAGGGAAUGGUGGGUAGUGGGGGAUAAAGGGGUUUUCCGGAGGUUUAUUCUGGUGUUCUUAUUCUUGUGGUUUUCCUAAUAAACUUUCUUUAUUCCUUUUAAAUUUUAAGCCU
ensembl:lncRNA